UCUCUUGUAGCUUAGUUGGUUAGAGCGCUGCACCGGAAUCGCAGGGCCGUAGGUUCAAUUCCUACCACAGGAC
rnacentral:tRNA from 1 species